AAGAACCAGCUCCCAACACUGCUCUCUUCUCCCCAGCUAAAGCCGAAGGUGCUCUGGAGGCUUGCUCCAGGCUGCUCCUCUGGGCUCUCCUACCUCUAAAUGUCGGGUACUUGGCUCAGUGCUCCCACCGACAGGGCUGGGCUGCUGGCUCGUGCAACUGAGGAAUGCCUGCCUGGAACUCUGAAUCUGCAGGGCACCGCGGGGAACAAACGGGAGGGGCCCACGUCAUGGGGAGGGGCCCGGGCAGUGCCAGGCCCUCACUGAACUUCCAAGAGCUAGGCUUUUCCAGCCUGCAAGUCAGAGGGGGCACAUGUGCUUCUCACCAGGUAGAAGCAGCAGAACCCCAAGCUCCACGCCCCUCUUGAAGCUCCAGGCUAUGAGCACUGUUCCCCUAUCCUCACUCCCACUCGGAGAAGAGAAAAAGGAAGCAAGGCCCUCACCCAGGCCUACGGGGCCAUACCUUCUCCCACAGUGCUGCCCUGGCCACAAGCAAAUCGCCCAGCCUCUCUAAGCCUCAGUUUCUUCAAUAAGCUAUGGCAAAUAACUCUUACCCUACAAUACUGGUGUGAGGUUUACAAAGGACAGCGGAGCACUGCAAGCACUGGGACUUAUUUGCUUUGUGAAA